ACGUUCCCGGGUCUUGUACACACCGCCCGUCACACCAUGGGAGUCGGAAAUGCCCGAAGCCGGGUGACCAAACCAAUAAGGAAGGAGCCGUCGAAGGCAGGUCUGAUAACUGGGGUGAAGUCGUAACAAGGUAUC
rnacentral:rRNA from 1 species